UUUUAAUUAUUCUUUUUAUAUAACCAAAAAAUACGUAUAUUGCUAUAUAAUUAGUAUCUAAAAAUUUCAAAUCGCGCGAUGGAUUAUAUUCCAAUUUCAUAGUAUCGUCUUCUUUCCUGGAUACGAUAAAUGUAUAUGCUUCAUAAACAAAAUCUUUCGACAUAUUAACGCGACAGUAAAACUACUUUUACUCGGUUUAGGUAAGGUCAACCCCUUGACCUCUGUAUUCUUAUCUCUUCAUUCCACCAAGAUUAAAUUGUAGCUAAGGAAAUAUAAUGACCGUAUCAGAAGCGAAGUCGUAAAAAAAAAAAAGAAAAAAAAAAAAGAAAAAAAAAAAAAGAGAAAAAGUUUUGAUUUGCGAAAAUUAUAACACUUUUAUAAAUGAAAGAGUAAAAAUGUAAAGUUUAUGAUUAUAGAAAUGUGUCAUGCUAGAUCAUCCUUAUAUUUGGAUCGUAUUUCACGAUCGACGUCCUGCCAUUAUUAAAAUCGAUGAACAAAUGUCGUUAAACGCCAUUGAUUCAAGGAUGAACUUGCAUGUGCGUUUGCCGCGUCUUUAUAACACAUGCGACCGUGAUAGGGAUAUGGACCGUAAAAGUACUGCAAGUGGGCGGCGGGCGGUAUAUAACUUACACACAUGUGUUACGCAACUGAAUCGUAUGAUCUCAUAGAUCUCUCUCGUGGCUUGCGUGUAUCGUAAAUUCUAAGUGCUACCGUAUUAGCUUGCACUCAUGCAUACAUAUGCUACGAGCAUCUGCAUACUUAGCGUUUUUCAAAAGGAACCUAUAUGACACUUUUCUUAUCGCUCCGACAGUCUAGCCAAAGAUUAACAAAGACACCAAGAUCCAAUGCUAAGAUGUUCGAUGUCAUGUAAAAUUGGAGAAGAAUCGUAAUUCUCGCGAUUACGUCUUCAUAAAAAGAGAAAACAGGAAAAGAAACAAAACUAUAGAGAUAUACAAGCUAUUAACUUUCAUAUUUUAAUCUAAUAAUAUUAUCGAUUGAAGAAAUAAAUUGCAUUAAUUUCUUCGCCGUCUUGUUUUACGGCUGAUCGAUUCAAUAUGCAUAUGUUCAUGCACGCACUGUCAUAGAGUGCAUCGAAGCAUAAGCGUUGCUUUAAAGCGAUUCAUAAUUUGUCUUGUUAUAGAGAGAAAAGGAGAGAGAAAGAGAAUAUAGUAUAUAUAUAUAUAUAUAUUUCUAGGUAAUAUCGAUAUGAUAUCAGUAACGUCAAAAAAUUAUACUUUAUUUAUGAAGGACGUAUUCAAGUUUUAUGUAUCUAUUAGUAAAGGGGGAAAAAAAAAAAUAAAAUGGAAUCGAUAGCGACGAGAACGAGACGACGACGACAAUGACGAUGACGACGAUGAAGCGAUAGUUGUGCUGGCAGUCAGUCAGAAUCUGGAUCUCGUGAGACGCGCACGUGUUUCAAAUCGAUCGAGAUAAGUGUGUUAAAUAUUGUUUUACAACGAAAGAAAAAAAGAAAAAACGAGGAAAAAAAAGAGGGAGAGGAAGGAUAAAAAGGAAGAAGGGAGAUUACCGUGUUCACAUAUUGAGACGAAGCCCACGAAUGUGCUAUAGCUUGCAAGAAGUGCAACGUCCUCCUUUAAGGAUGCAGCAGCAGCAGCAGCAGCAACAGCAGCAGCAGCAGCAGCAGCAGCAGGAGGUGCGAAGCGAACACUGUAUAAAAAUUAAAAGGAGUAGAAAGAAAGAUUUUCUUCGUCGAGGACUCCAAUCGUCGAACAGUACGCGUCGAAGUUAACGCGGGGGCGAUAACUCUGAUGUUCAUCGACUUUUUUAUACGGGACAGAGCCACUCCUAUCAUCGAGAUCGAUGAUCUCUGAAGAAGACUUUCUUGUAUUUCGUAUAUACGUUUUGUGUUCUACAGUGUUCAUUAUUAUUCGUUUCUUUAUUUUUUUUUUUU